AUCAUAUUUGUUAUGUAAUUUACACAAUCCAUGAUACAUAGCAAAUUCAAAACUAAUUAAAAAACUAAUAUACAAUAAGUUUUAAAAAAUCAGUGUACAAUAGUUACAAUUUUGAAAGCAAACAAAAAACAGACCAUGUGCUAUAGUACUUUCUAACACAGACUUAGACAGUGAUAAUUAUCAACGUUUAGUUUUUUGGUACACUGAUGGAUUGUCCGACGUGAUGGAGGAUGCAGUCAGAAUCUGUCUGCAAAAAAUGAAGUGAUUAGGUCUAUGAUUGCCUUAAAACAAUGCAGUACAGCUGCCGAGUUUGAAAAGAUGUCAAAGGAAGUGAUUGUCAAAACAGACAGAGAAACUGGCAGUUCAGUAAUUUCACAGUAUCUACAGGACCAUUGGUUUCGAAAUGCAGACAUGUGGGCCAAUUUUGGACGGAGAGUUUACCACCAAGACAGUGAAACGAACAACCUUGUUGAGAGAUUUUUUUUCAGCAUGAAGUAUCAGUUUCUUCAUGGCUAUGCAAACAGACGAGUUGAUGAACUACUUCUACUACUUAAUACCAAGGUGGUCACUUACUAGAGGUAUCUGGAAGGUCUUCAUGGUGCUCAGAGGAUUUCUGAUUCCAAAACACAGGAUACUGCAGAAUCUGCAUUACGUACGAAGAACAAAGGCCUUCAAAAUAAAUUUGUUUACAAAUCAGGUGGCCAUUGCACAGUGCCUUCAGAAGCAGAUAAAGCAAAAUGUUAUGCUGUGGAUUUAAUUAGCAUGAAAUGUGAAUGCGCCGUUUCUGAAAGGGGUAAUUUGUGCAAGCAUAUUGAGUUUGCAAAAAUGAUGUGCAAAGAACAGGGGAUUGAUAUUGAUGGAAUUCGAAAAGAAUUAGCCAGUUCACUAACUGAACAGCAUUGCUAUGAGUGGGAUGGAAAACAUUUAAUUGUACAUUGUGCUGGUAGUUUUGGAGUAGUACAUGUGCAAAACCAACAGUGUACCUGUCUUGCCAAUAGUCUUGGAGAAAUAUGUGUCUGUCUAAGACUUUCUGAGAUAAUUGGUACACAGAACCCUAACCAAGAGGUAACGGACUGCUUUGUGAAUACCACAGCAAAUUGUCAAUCACACAAUAAACAGUUGUGUGUAAAGAAAAUGAUUUCAGACUUAAAGGAGUGGUGUGACAGCAGUGAUUAUAAGGAAUCUCCAGAGUUGAAUGCUGUAGUAAAACGUGCACACCAACUAGCAUUUGGACAUGUGGCAAAGUGCCCCGCCCCUGUGUGCAUUUGUGUGAUCUGUGUAUGUAUAUGCGUGCGUAUGUUAAUGUUGGUGUAUAGAUUGGUACACGGGAUAUAAACGGGUCUGUGUUUCACGUGUGUUUAAAGUGUAUAAUUAUAUUUAGGCACGAGGAUGGCACAUCACUUCACGUGCAGAUAAAAUGUGUAUAAUGUGUGGCACGGGGUUGCACGUAAUGAAUUCACGUGCUGGGAUUCAAGUGAGUAAUUAAUUAGUAAUUGAAUCCCAGCACAACAGUAUAUAUAGAGACACAUUUUCACUCACUGGGGGUUGGUGUUCGGUGAGUGGAGAACGGGAGAGAGAGAAGGAGAAAAGAAAGUCUAAAGUAAAGUAAUUAGUGUUAUCUGCUCACCGUGUUUGUCCGUUUGUCUGUUCACUGUUUAGUCCGUUUUGUUUAUAUGUUUCUUUUGGCGUCAAGUGCCGUGUCCCGUGUUUUUGUGUUUCAAACCUUUUAUUUUCUGUUUAUUAAAUGCUGAGCGCGAUCACGCGCCCAGCUUAUACCAAACUCCAAGUCUCUCUGUAUUCCUUCCUGCUUCUGGUCUGACGCCACCCACUCUGGCCGUCUUUGUGACACGUGGUGUCAUCGUGGGAUAACAGCGCCUCCAAGCGUCAGACCAGGAGAGGGGGUUUUGUGUUUAAAAAAAAAAAAAAAAAAAAAAAAAAAAACCACAGGACUGGUUUCAAAAAAAAAAAAAAGUGAAAAUGGAAGGCUGGAGAGACGGCUGCCGGGACCUGGAGGACCUCCUCGGGGGCCUCGAGGACCAAGGCUGGUGCAUGGCCUGUGGAGUCUACGGACACACGGUGGCGAUCUGCCCCUUCCAAGGUGAGGAGGAGGAGGAACCGGAUAAAGAGGUGAAGGACAGGGAGGAGGAGUGCCGCCUAAGGGCCAGGCAUCCACGGCGAUGUAACAAGCCAUCGCCGGGGUGCCUCCUCUGCGACCAGGAUCACCUGUUCGCCCACUGUCCCUUCCGCAGCUAUGGGGAGGAGCCUGAGCGUCCACAGACCAAGCGGGAGGAGCCUGAGCGUCCACAGCCCAAAUGGGAGGAGCCUGAACGUCCUACGCCUGAGUGGGAGGAGCCCGAACGUCCUACGCCUGAGUGGGAGGAGCCCGAACGUCCUACGCCUGAGUGGGAGGAGCCCGAACGUCCUACGCCU